rnacentral:rRNA from 1 species
AUUGAGCGCUGGCGGCAGGCCUAACACAUGCAAGUCGAACGGUAACAGGAAGAAGCUUGCUUCUUUGCUGACGAGUGGCGGACGGGUGAGUAAUGUUUGGGAAACUGCCUGAUGGAGGGGGAUAACUACUGGAAACGGUAGCUAAUACCGCAUAACGUCGCAAGACCAAAGAGGGGGACCUUCGGGCCUCUUGCCAUCGGAUGUGCCCAGAUGGGAUUAGCUAGUAGGUGGGGUAACGGCUCACCUAGGCGACGAUCCCUAGCUGGUCUGAGAGGAUGACCAGCCACACUGGAACUGAGACACGGUCCAGACUCCUACGGGAGGCAGCAGUGGGGAAUAUUGCACAAUGGGCGCAAGCCUGAUGCAGCCAUGCCGCGUGUAUGAAGAAGGCCUUCGGGUUGUAAAGUACUUUCAGCGGGGAGGAAGGGAGUAAAGUUAAUACCUUUGCUCAUUGACGUUACCCGCAGAAGAAGCACCGGCUAACUCCGUG